rnacentral:tRNA from 1 species
UAUGGCUUAGUGAUAGAGUGCUUGCCUAACAUGCAUGAAGCCCUGGGUUCGAUCCUCAGUA